AACGAACGCUGGCGGCAUGCCUAACACAUGCAAGUCGAACGAGACCUUCGGGUCUAGUGGCGCACGGGUGCGUAACGCGUGGGAACCUGCCCUAAGGUUCGGAAUAACACAGAGAAAUUUGUGCUAAUACCGGAUAAUGUCUUCGGACCAAAGAUUUAUCGCCUUUGGAUGGGCCCGCGUAGGAUUAGUUAGUUGGUGAGGUAAAGGCUCACCAAGGCGACGAUCCUUAGCUGGUCUUAGAGGAUGAUCAGCCACACUGGGACUGAGACACGGCCCAGACUCCUACGGGAGGCAGCAGUGGGGAAUAUUGGACAAUGGGCGCAAGCCUGAUCCAGCAAUGCCGCGUGAGUGUUGAAGGCCUUAGGGUUGUAAAGCUCUUUUACUGGGGAUGAUAAUGACAGUACCCAGAGAAUAAGCCCCGGCUAACUCCGUGCCAGCAGCCGCGGUAA
rnacentral:rRNA from 1 species